GCCUGUAAUUUAGUGGUUGUCGUUUGUUUAUGUGUUACAUAUUUGUUUUUCGUUCAUUUUUUUACAUAAAUAAGGCCGUUAGUUUUCUCGUUUGAAUUGUUUUACAUUGUCUUAUCGGGGCCUAUUAUAACUGACUAUGCGGUAUGGGCUUUGCUCAUUGUUGAAGGCCGUACGGUGACCUAUAGUUGUUAAUGUCUGUGUCAUUUUGGUCUUUUGUGGAUAGUUUUCUCAUUGGCAAUCAUACCACAUCUUCUUUUUUAUAUUAAC
rnacentral:lncRNA from 1 species